rnacentral:rRNA from 1 species
CUGAGUACGACGGAGCACGUGAAAUUCCGUCGGAAUCUGGGAGGACCAUCUCCUAAGGCUAAAUACUCUCUAGUGACCGAUAGUGAACCAGUACCGUGAGGGAAAGGUGAAAAGCACCCCGGAAGGGGAGUGAAAUAGAACCUGAAACCGUGUGCUUACAAGUAGUCAGAGCCCGUUAAUGGGUGAUGGCGUGCCUUUUGUAGAAUGAACCGGCGAGUUACGAUUUGAUGCAAGGUUAAGCAGUAAAUGUGGAGCCGUAGCGAAAGCGAGUCUGAAUAGGGCGUUUAGUAUUUGGUCGUAGACCCGAAACCAGGUGAUCUACCCUUGGUCAGGUUGAAGUUCAGGUAACACUGAAUGGAGGACCGAACCGACUUACGUUGAAAAGUGAGCGGAUGAACUGAGGGUAGCGGAGAAAUUCCAAUCGAACCUGGAGAUAGCUGGUUCUCUCCGAAAUAGCUUUAGGGCUAGCCUCAAGUGAUGAUUAUUGGAGGUAGAGCACUGUUUGGACGAGGGGCCCCUCUCGGGUUACCGAAUUCAGACAAACUCCGAAUGCCAAUUAAUUUAACUUGGGAGUCAGAACAUGGGUGAUAAGGUCCGUGUUCGAAAGGGAAACAGCCCAGACCACCAGCUAAGGUCCCAAAAUAUAUGUUAAGUGGAAAAGGAUGUGGCGUUGCCCAGACAACUAGGAUGUUGGCUUAGAAGCAGCCAUCAUUUAAAGAGUGCGUAAUAGCUCACUAGUCGAGUGACACUGCGCCGA